GUCCGCGCGAUAAACGAUGGACGCCCGCCGUGGGGUAGAUAUAUUCCGCGGCCAAGCGAAAGCGUUAAGCGUCCCACCUGGGGGAGUACGCCGGCAACGGUGAAACUCAAAGGAAUUGACGGGGGCCCGCACAAGCGGAGGAACAUGUGGUUUAAUUCGAUGAUACGCGAGGAACCUUACCCGGGCUUGAACUGCAGACGACGGCGCCGGAGACGGCGCUUCCCUUCGGGGCGUCUGCGGAGGUGCUGCAUGGUUGUCGU
rnacentral:rRNA from 1 species